UGAGUGUCCCCAUGGUGUUCCCCAUGAGUGUCUCCACGAUGUCCCUUGGUGUCCCCGUGGUGUCCCAAUGGACGUCCCAAUGGAUGUCCCCAUGAUGUCCCCAUGGUGUCCCCAUGACUGUCCCAUGAUGUCCCCAUGGUGUCCCAAUGGAUGGCCCCAUGGUGUCCCGUGGUGUCCCCAUUGUGUCCCCAUGAUGUCCCCAUGCCACCUCAUGCUGUCCCCAUGGAUGUCCUCAUGCUGUCCCAAUGGAUGUCCCCAUGGAUGUCCCCAUGAUGUCCCUAUAAUGUCCCCAAGGAUGUCCCCAUGAUGUCCCCAUGAUGUCCUCA
ensembl:lncRNA